rnacentral:rRNA from 1 species
UACAGGGGGUGCAAGCGUUGCUCGGAAUUAUUGGGCGUAAAGCGCACGUAGGCGGUUUGUUAUGUCGGAUGUGAAAGCCCUUGGCUCAACUGAGGAAGUGCAUCCGGAACUGGCAAGCUAGAGUAUGUAAGAGGGUCGCGGAAUUCCCGGUGUAGAGGUGAAAUUCGUAGAUAUCGGGAGGAACACCGGUGGCGAAGGCGGCGACCUGGGACAAUACUGACACUGAGGAGCGAAAGCCAGGGGAGCAAACGGG